GGCUUAGAGUUUGAUCAUGGCUCAGGACGAACGCUGGCGGCGUGCCUAAUACAUGCAAGUCGAGCGAGCUUGCCUAGAUGAUUUUAGUGCUUGCACUAAAUGAAACUAGAUACAAGCGAGCGGCGGACGGGUGAGUAACACGUGGGUAACCUGCCCAAGUGACUGGGAUAACACCUGGAAACAGAUGCUAAUACCGGAUAACAACACUAGACGCAUGUCUAGAGUUUGAAAGAUGGUUCUGCUAUCACUCUUGGAUGGACCUGCGGUGCAUUAGCUAGUUGGUAAGGUAACGGCUUACCAAGGCAAUGAUGCAUAGCCGAGUUGAGAGACUGAUCGGCCACAUUGGGACUGAGACACGGCCCAAACUCCUACGGGAGGCAGCAGUAGGGAAUCUUCCACAAUGGACGAAAGUCUGAUGGAGCAACGCCGCGUGAGUGAAGAAGGGUUUCGGCUCGUAAAGCUCUGUUGGUAGUGAAGAAAGAUAGAGGUAGUAACUGGCCUUUAUUUGACGGUAAUUACUUAGAAAGUCACGGCUAACUACGUGCCAGCAGCCGCGGUAAUACGUAGGUGGCAAGCGUUGUCCGGAUUUAUUGGGCGUAAAGCGAGUGCAGGCGGUUCAAUAAGUCUGAUGUGAAAGCCUUCGGCUCAACCGGAGAAUUGCAUCAGAAACUGUUGAACUUGAGUGCAGAAGAGGAGAGUGGAACUCCAUGUGUAGCGGUGGAAUGCGUAGAUAUAUGGAAGAACACCAGUGGCGAAGGCGGCUCUCUGGUCUGCAACUGACGCUGAGGCUCGAAAGCAUGGGUAGCGAACAGGAUUAGAUACCCUGGUAGUCCAUGCCGUAAACGAUGAGUGCUAAGUGUUGGGAGGUUUC
rnacentral:rRNA from 1 species